rnacentral:rRNA from 1 species
UACGGGGGGGCAAGCGUUGUUCGGAAUUACUGGGCGUAAAGGGCUCGUAGGUGGCCAACUAAGUCAGACGUGAAAUCCCUCGGCUUAACCGGGGAACUGCGUCUGAUACUGGUUGGCUUGAGUUUGGGAGAGGGAUGCGGAAUUCCAGGUGUAGCGGUGAAAUGCGUAGAUAUCUGGAGGAACACCGGUGGCGAAGGCGGCAUCCUGGACCAACACUGACGCUGAGGAGCGAAAGCCAGGGGAGCAAACGGG